GGGUGGGAGCAGGUACAAAUAACAAUUGGGUUAGCAGGCAUAGUCGGAAAUAACGUAAAUCUAAAUCUAAAUAGUUACAACAGCUAGAUAUUUAUUGGUCUUUAACUAAGCACAAUGUGAUUUAUUUGCAAUUAAAAUUUUAUGCAAUUGCGACGAGAAAGAUUUUUAGUAGAGUAAAAAGUGUGAUGUCAAAAGCACACAAUACUUUUUUUGUAAAGCUGUGCAAUUAAUAAACCGCGCCGCCGGGGCUUUAAAGUUUUCUAUAUAUUUUACAUGCAGAAAAUACCUGUUACUUUGUGCUCGUAACCACAUGACUCACAUUAAAAAAAAAA